GUAACUGCGAGUGAAGCGGGAAAAGCUCAAAUUUAAAAUCUGGCGGUCUUUUGGCCGUCCGAGUUGUAAUCUAGAGAAGUGUUAUCCGCGCUGGACCGUGUACAAGUCUCCUGGAAUGGAGCAUCAUAGAGGGUGAGAAUCCCGUCUUUGACAUGGGCUGCCAGGGCUUUGUGAUGCGCUCUCAAAGAGUCGAGUUGUUUGGGAAUGCAGCUCAAAAUGGGUGGUAAAUUCCAUCUAAAGCUAAAUAUUGGCGAGAGACCGAUAGCGAACAAGUACCGUGAGGGAAAGAUGAAAAGAACUUUGGAAAGAGAGUUAAACAGUACGUGAAAUUGCUGAAAGGGAAACGCUUGAAGUCAGUCGCGUCGUCCAGGGAUCAACCUUGCUUUUGCUUGGUGCACUUUCUGGUUUGACGGGUCAGCAUCAAUUUUGACUAUUGGAAAAAGGUCAAGGGAAUGUGGCAUCUUUGGAUGUGUUUAUAGCCCUUGGUCACAUACAAUGGUUGGGAUUGAGGAACUCAGCCCGCCGCAAGGCUGGUGCUUAGGAUGCUGGCAAUAUGGCUUUAAUCGACCCGUCUUGAAACACGGACCAAGGAGUCUAACAUGCCUGCGAGUGUUUGGGUGGAAAACCCGAGCGCGCAAUGAAAGUGAAAAGUUGAGAUCCCUGUCGUGGGGAGCAUCGACGCCCGGACCAGACCUUUUGUGACGGUUCCGCGGUAGAGCAUGUAUGUUGGGACCCGAAAGAUGGUGAACUAUGCCUGAAUAGGGUGAAUCCAGAGGAAACUCUGGUGGAGGCUCGUAGCGAUUCUGACGUGCAAAUCGAUCGUCAAAUUUGGG
rnacentral:rRNA from 1 species